UAUUAUGUUUCAUUUCCAAUUAUAUUUUUCAUAAUCUAUCUGCCUUAUGUUUCGCACACAGAUUCUAAAGUUAAAAACCAUGUUGAAGCAAUCACCAAGUAGCAGAAAUCAAAGGACUAAAAGCUUCAAGUCGCAAAGCUUGGAAGAAAAGUUUUGAAUCCGUACGAACUGAUCGAUGAUACAGAAGAGAGCAAACCCCAAAGACUUGAAGAGGAAGAACAUGAGGAAGUAGAAGACCUCAUUGACGAAGAAGAUAAAGAGAAGGAGGAGGAAAUCCAAGAUGAAGAAGAAAUCAUUGAAAAACAAAACUUGUUGCAAGAUCAAGGUCAAAGUCAAAGAGAAAAAAACACAGGUGUUUAAUGUUACCUGUGGAAAUAGAAUACUCUUCUUUUUCAAAUUCAUGGAUUAUUACUAAAACAGAACAUGCUGUGCUUAGCUCUAAUCAUUCUAGAAAUGGAUUAAAUUCUAAUUCUUUACUUCAUUGACAAGG